GCAUAUCAAUAAGCGGAGGAAAAGAAACCAACAGGGAUUGCCCUAGUAACGGCGAGUGAAGCGGCAACAGCUCAAAUUUGAAAUCUGGCUCUCGGGCCCGAGUUGUAAUUUGUAGAGGAUACUUUUGAUGCGGUGCCUUCCGAGUUCCCUGGAACGGGACGCCAUAGAGGGUGAGAGCCCCGUCUGGUUGGAUGCCAAAUCUCUGUAAAGUUCCUUCGACGAGUCGAGUAGUUUGGGAAUGCUGCUCUAAAUGGGAGGUAUAUGUCUUCUAAAGCUAAAUACCGGCCAGAGACCGAUAGCGCACAAGUAGAGUGAUCGAAAGAUGAAAAGCACUUUGAAAAGAGAGUUAAAAAGUACGUGAAAUUGUUGAAAGGGAAGCGUUUAUGACCAGACUUGGGCUUGGUUAAUCAUCUGGGGUUCUCCCCAGUGCACUUUUCCAGUCCAGGCCAGCAUCAGUUUUCGCCGGGGGAUAAAGACUUCGGGAAUGUGGCUCUCUUCGGGGAGUGUUAUAGCCCGUUGUGUAAUACCCUGGCGGGGACUGAGGUUCGCGCAUCUGCAAGGAUGCUGGCGUAAUGGUCAUCAACGACCCGUCUUGAAACACGGACCAAGGAGUCGUCUUCGUAUGCGAGUGUUCGGGUGUCAAACCCCUACGCGUAAUGAAAGUGAACGCAGGUGAGAGCUUCGGCGCAUCAUCGACCGAUCCUGAUGUUCUCGGAUGGAUUUGAGUAAGAGCAUACGGGGCCGGACCCGAAAGAAGGUGAACUAUGCCUGUAUAGGGUGAAGCCAGAGGAAACUCUGGUGGAGGCUCGCAGCGGUUCUGACGUGCAAAUCGAUCGUCAAAUAUGGGCAUGGGGGCGAAAGACUAAUCGAACCUUCUAGUAGCUGGUUUCCGCCGAAGUU
rnacentral:rRNA from 1 species